rnacentral:rRNA from 1 species
UCUACGGGAGGCAGCAGUAGGGAAUAUUGCACAAUGGGCGAAAGCCUGAUGCAGCGACGCCGCGUGAGGGAUGACGGCCUUCGGGUUGUAAACCUCUUUCAGCAGGGAAGAAGCGAGAGUGACGGUACCUGCAGAAGAAGCACCGGCCAACUACGUGCCAGCAGCCGCGGUAAUA